UCUGUCCGCUGUCUGUCUCUCUGUCUGUUUGUCCAUUUUUCUGUCUGUUUUUCUGUCCGUCAAUCUUUCUGUCUGUCUGUCCAUCCGUCUGUCUGUCUUUCAAUCUUUCUGUCUGUCUGUCUUUCUGUCCGUCAAUCUUUCUGUCAGUAUGUCUUUUUGCCUGUCUGUACGUCUGUCUGUCUGUCUUUCUGUCUGUCAAUCUUUCUGUCUGUCCGUCAGUCUUUCUUUCUGUCCGUCUGUCUGUCCGUCUGUCUUUCUGUAUGUCCGUCUGUCUGUCUUUCUGUCCGUCUGUCUGUCUGUCCGUCUAUCUGUCUUUCUGUCUGUCCAUCUGUCUGUCCGUCUUUCUGUCUGUUUGUCUUUCUGUCUGUCUGUCUGUCUGUCUGUCUGUCUUUCUGUCUGUCUGUCUAUUCCAGUAUCCAAACCAGUCAGAGACAGCGAUGUUGAGGACAUCAAGAGGAAAUAAAAAAACAAGAAGUAAAGCACUCUCAAUGUGAAUCAAACAACUGCUCGACUGAGGAGAUGAAGAGAAAAGGGAAGCUGCACAAUCCUAAAAUUGUGAAGGCAGUCUGUCGGCUACACAACUCGGAGGCAAAUUGUAGGCACUAUCACCAGGAGCAGAUGUAUGGAUGAAAGAUAAAGCCUAAAGUGCAUUAUGUUGUUUACGAAGCAAAUAAAUACAUUUGUUUUACAGUUUUUCUCAAUUGGUUUGGCUCAUUUCUUGAAACAGAAAUUACAUUUUCAAAACAACAUGGACAAACCUCCAAACCACUUGGCAAUUGUUCACAACAGAAUUUAAUUUCUCAUUAAUUUAAUCAAAUUGCAAAUGUCUAAGUACAUGUCUCAAUAUCUCAGUACAUCUUUGCAAAUGAUUAAGUACAGGUAGCGUACAUUUAGAACAAUUUCCAAGUGAAUAGAUCUUGUUGAUCUAAACUUAGUGGUUGAUUCUCAGUCUAAGGGUUGUUCGCUUCAAAACGUGUCAGCGUCAUUUCAUUGUAUAAGUCAUCACAUGCACAAUAGUCUGUUAAAUUGUCAAUAUUAGUCAAGAACAUAAUACCAUGAAUACUAUAUAUGAAUCCUUUGAACAUUUGAUAAAUUUAUUACAGCAAUUGACAGUCAGGUGAAACUAGAACUUGACUAAUGAAGAAGGAGUUUACGCUUUUUUUGAGAGUAAUGGCAUUGGAAGGAAACGAGACCCUUCAUAUCCUCGUGUUUGUCGAUGAAGCUGGUUUCAACUUGGCCAAGGACAGAAAAUGUGGACGUAAUAUUAUUGGCCACCGGGCCACGGUGGAUGUCCCAGGCCAGUGAGGGGGCAAUAUAACUAUGUGUGCUGCCAUACAUGGCCACUCACAUCCCCAGUCUUGGCCCAUACUAUACACAGAAGCUCCUCAUCUUCUAGGACUACCUUCAUUUUGAUUUGAUCCCUAAAAAUGAGAGAGGUCUCUUAGGGCCCCACCUACCACAAUAUGUCAUUGUAUAGGACAAUGUGAAUUUCCACCGUUGCCCGCUCAUCAGGGCCUGGUUCACUACUCAUCCAAUGAUGGUCAUGGUGUUCCUGCCACCUAACACUCCUUUCCUCAAUCCUAUUGAGGAGUUAUUCUCCGUUUGGAGGUGGUGAGUGUAUGAGCAUGGGGCUCAAGAUCAGAGGUCCCUGCUCCAUGCAAUGAACGCUGUGUGUGAGGAUAUUACAGGAGAUCAGUGUAAGGGAUGGU